rnacentral:ncRNA from 2 species
GUACCAUUUAAAGCGCCAGGACUGCAGAAAAGGACGUUUUUUUCUGUAGUUGACGAGGAGGAGGUUCAUCGAGGUGAUUCGGCGGAUGCCUCCCGGUUGCUGACAUUUCAACCGUCUGUUUUUGUGCCAAACCGAAGAGGCGACUCUUCGAACAACGCGCAGGAACGAAAUGUCC